rnacentral:lncRNA from 1 species
AAGGACAUGAAUACCAGGUGGCAGGGAUCACUGGGCCAUCUCUCUAAAUCACGAAUGAAACAUUUGCAACCUGUGUCUCCCAAACAUGAUAUGUCUCAAUCAUCAAAGCGUCUCGCUCUUGUCACCCAGGCUGGAGUGCAAUGGCGUGAUCUCGGCUCACUGCAACCUCUGCCUCCCAGGUUCAAGUGAUUCUCCUGCCUCAGCCUUCCGAGUAGCUGGGACUACAGUGGAUCUGGAAUGGCCUAAGCCUUGCUAUAUCAAGCUUUUCUAGAGACAGAUUCUAAUCUGCAUGCUUAUGGUUAAAGGAGGCAUUGUAAUAUGGCACAUGACCAAGAAAGCACCCUCAGCCUGUUUCUUCAGGAGUGUCAGAGUUCUCAGGACAUCACGGGGAAGCACAGGAUCUACAGUGACUACAAUAACCAAGUGCUACAAAAACGCUGUGACGAGGAAUCUGAACAACAGAGAUUUGAGGGAAACAAAACACUUUCGACGAAGGUCCUGCUGCUUGUCUUCAGCUUGGUACCAAUUAGAGCUUCACUGGAGGUGAAAAAAUCGCGGCAUGUCUUCCAAGGAAAAAACUGUAACUAAAUCUAUGGCAAGUUUUUGGAUUAGAAAAAUCUAGGCUUCAUGAAGAUAAGAGCAGAGCUGUGGAAAAGUAAGACAAAGAAAUCAUCCAACAAUACAAGCAACAUACAAGAGGGCUUAUAUCACUUCUGUCCUCCUUCCCAGCCAAGUAAAGUAAAGCAAAAGAGAAACAACUUUCAAAAGGACUGAAACACUAUGGACUCAAUUUCCAUGUGCUGCACUAAAUGGGGUCCUUAGAGCAUCCCGGGCUGUCUUUGCUCUGAUUUUAUCAGAGUAAAAAAUUUAAAUUUUGCUUAUGAUAGGCUGAAGUUCUUAUAAGGAGGAGAAUUCUGGAAGAAUUUUAAAGAGACAUGAUUAAAAAUAAAUGCUGCACAUUGACAAA